AUUGAACGCUGGCGGCAGGCCUAACACAUGCAAGUCGAGCGGAUGAAGGGAGCUUGCUCCUGGAUUCAGCGGCGGACGGGUGAGUAUUGCCUAGGAAUCUGCCUGGUAGUGGGGGAUAACGUCCGGAAACGGGCGCUAAUACCGCAUACGUCCUGAGGGAGAAAGUGGGGGAUCUUCGGACAUCACGCUAUCAGAUGAGCCUAGGUCGGAUUAGCUAGCUGGUGGGGUAAAGGCCUACCAAGUCGACGAUCGGUAACUGGCCUGAGAGGAUGAUCAGUCACAUGAGAGCGGGGACAGGGACCAUGCGCCUAAGGGAGGCAGCAGUGGGGAAUAUUGGACAAUGGGCGAAAGCAUGAUCCAGCCAUGCCGCGUGUGUGAAGAAGGUCUUCGGAUUGUAAAGCACGUUAAGUUGGGAGGAAGGGCAGUAAGUUAAUACCUUGCUGUUUUGACGUUACCAGCAGAAUAAGCACCGGCUAACUACGUG
rnacentral:rRNA from 1 species